rnacentral:tRNA from 1 species
GGGCCUGUAGCUCAAGAGGACAGAGCGACGGUUUCCUAAACCGUAGGUUGGAGGUUCGACUCCUCUCAGGCCCGCCA